rnacentral:lncRNA from 1 species
GAACCACUCAUAUAAUUAUAGCAUCGAGAAUGUCACUGAUAAGUGAGUAGACAUCCAAGUGACUUUUCAUGUUGGUCACAUUCAGUACCGUUAUUCUCUAACAACCACCUGCACUAUCGUUCCAGUGUUCUCACAUUGUAGACUUAAGACUCAUCUAUCCUAAGAGAAGUGAUCUGUGCACCAAUCUUAUCAGAUCAAUCACCAUCUCCAUAAUGAUCCUA